GAUGAACGCUGGCGGCGUGCCUAACACAUGCAAGUCGAGCGGAGAUGAGGGAGUUUACUUCUGAUUCUUAGCGGCGGACGGGUGAGUAACGCGUGGGCAACCUACCCUGUACAGGGGGAUAACAAUGGGAAACCAUUGCUAAUACCCCAUAACGCCUUUGAGGGGCAUCCCUUAAAGGUCAAAGAACUUCGGUACAGGAUGGGCCCGCGUCUGAUUAGCUAGUUGGUGAGGUAAUGGCUCACCAAGGCGACGAUCAGUAGCCGGCCUGAGAGGGUGAACGGCCACACUGGAACUGAGACACGGUCCAGACUCCUACGGGUGGCAG
rnacentral:rRNA from 1 species